rnacentral:rRNA from 1 species
UACGGAGGGGGCUAGCGUUGUUCGGAAUUACUGGGCGUAAAGCGCACGUAGGCGGCUUUGUAAGUUAGAGGUGAAAGCCCGGGGCUCAACCCCGGGAGGCGGGUGGAUACUGUCAAGCUCGAGUCCGGAAGAGGCGAGUGGAAUUCCUGGUGUAGCGGUGAAAUGCGCAGAUAUCAGGAGGAACACCAAUGGCGAAGGCAGCUCGCUGGGACGUGACUGACGCUGAGACGCGAAAGCGUGGGGAGCAAACGGG